rnacentral:rRNA from 1 species
GACGAACGCUGGCGGCGUGCCUAAUACAUGCAAGUAGAACGCACAGUUUAUACCGUAGCUUGCUACACCAUAGACUGUGAGUUGCGAACGGGUGAGUAACGCGUAGGUAACCUGCCUGGUAGCGGGGGAUAACUAUUGGAAACGAUAGCUAAUACCGCAUAAUAUUAAUUAUUGCAUGAUAAUUAAUUGAAAGGUGCAAUUGCACCACUACCAGAUGGACCUGCGUUGUAUUAGCUAGUAGGUGAGGUAACGGCUCACCUAGGCGACGAUACAUAGCCGACCUGAGAGGGUGAUCGGCCACACUGGGACUGAGACACGGCCCAGACUCCUACGGGAGGCAGCAGUAGGGAAUCUUCGGCAAUGGACGAAAGUCUGACCGAGCAACGCCGCGUGAGUGAAGAAGGUUUUCGGAUCGUAAAGCUCUGUUGUAAGAGAAGAACGGGUGUGAGAGGGAAAGUUCACACUGUGACGG